UACGGACGGGGCAAGCGUUGUUCGGAAUCAUUGGGCGUAAAGGGCGCGCAGGUGGCUCUGUAUGUCUGCCGUGAAAGCAUACAGCUCAACUGUAUCGUGUCGGUAGAAACUGCAGGACUUGAGGCUGGGAGGGGCUGGUGGAAUUCCCUGUGUAGCGGUGAAAUGCGUAGAGAUGGGGGAGAACACUCGUGGCGAAGGCGGCCAGCUAGACCAGUUCUGACACUGAGGCGCGACAGCGUGGGGAGCAAACAGG
rnacentral:rRNA from 1 species